CCGGCACGGGUGAGUAACACGUAUCCAACCUGCCGUCUACUCUUGGACAGCCUUCUGAAAGGAAGAUUAAUACAAGAUGGCAUCAUGAGUCCGCAUGUUCACAUGAUUAAAGGUAUUCCGGUAGACGAUGGGGAUGCGUUCCAUUAGAUAGUAGGCGGGGUAACGGCCCACCUAGUCUUCGAUGGAUAGGGGUUCUGAGAGGAAGGUCCCCCACAUUGGAACUGAGAAACGGUCCAA
rnacentral:rRNA from 1 species